GUCCCUGUAGCGCAAUGGGUAGCGCGUUGGACUUCUAAUCCAAAGGUCGUGGUUUCGAAUUCAACCUGCGAUG